rnacentral:lncRNA from 1 species
UUACCUUAAUAUCAUUAAAUCAGAAAAAGCUAAGAAACCUUUUGAUUACUGGUAUUGUAGAUUUAAUUGCUGACAAUUUUUGCCUAGCUUUCUUACAUGCAGAUGGAUAAAUUGGGAGAAUAGCAACAAUAGAACUUAUAAACAAGUCUUUUCUUGAAAGACAAUUAAAGUGAAUUCUGAAGAAAAUAAAACAUACCAUAAAUCAAAAACAUAUCUCAACUAUUUUUAUACUUGUAUAUUAUCUUUCAAAUACUGUCAAUAGGGAUAUUCAUAUUUUAUGGCUAAAAUAGUGAUGACCAAAUCAUUCUACACUCUACUUUUUAAUGGAACUUUAUAGCAUGUAUAUAUGUCAGAAAAUUUUUCAUGAUUAUUUUAAAGACAGAAUAAUAUGCUACCAAGUUAAUAUGCUAUAAUUUACUUAAUUUCUUUAUUAUAAGACACUUUAGCUAUUAGAGAAUAGACCUCAGGGAAUAACCAUGUGCAUAAUGUUUUUUUUUUCUCUUCCUGACAAAUUUCCAACAUGAAAUAUUUAUGACAAUACACAAAGUGACAUUGUAACUUGUUGAAGGUGAGGAAAGGAGUGUUUAAAAAUUAGACUGCAGUCUUAACAGAAGUGACUGUCAAUGAUAAAUUGUCUACUGAGGUACCAGGACAGAAAUCCUGUCUCCUAAUGGUAUGCAGACAUUUAAAAGUAAGCUCCCAUAGACAUACAUGAUCUAUUCAGCACUCCGAACAAGUUGUUGCUGAAAGACUAACAGAGAUGUUUUAGAUUUAAACAUCCAAAGUCACAAAAUACUUUUAAGUACCUAUCAAGCUGAUUUUAUCAACUUAACCUUCAAAUUAAAAUCUUAGGGAACAAAUACUGGUACAGUUAUACUGAAACAAAAAUAUGGAUGAUACAUACAUUUUAGCAGGACAAGCAUUAAUAUUUUUAGAGUGAGCACUUUGCAUUGUAUAGGUAAUAGAAUUGUGGGGCGGGUAUUGUUUCAUUAAGCAAAGAAGUUGGUUUUACUCUGAAAUAUCACUGCAGUUGAAGCAAAUACCAUUUUAACAAACACCUUUCCACUAGCUUGAAUGCCUGUGGUGUUUCCUUCUCUUUCCUUACAUUUCUCUAUGGUGGAGCUAGUUCUCUUAAUAACUUUUUUUCUUCACAGUCACUCCUCAGUCUUUGUGGUCUGGUUGCUGGCCUGACCAUUUGACUGAAGCCUCUCUGACAAUAAGCAGCAAUAACCUGUGUGUGAUGAAAUCUAAUGAACACUUUUCAGUCUCUAUUUUAUUUGACCUCCCUGACACAUCUGAUAUUUUUGAUCACUUGCUCCAGGAGAUUUUAUUUUCCCUUGGCUUCCAUGUAAGAAGUCUCUCCUUGUUGUUCUGUUACUUUGCUAUCUAGCUAUUUUUUUCAAUCCUUUUAGGCCAAGACUCCCCAAAAUAAUGUCUUACCCAAUUCCCUUCUUAUUUUAUACUUCUGCCAGCUAAAAGCUUAUUUAUUUUAAUUACUUCUAUUAUCUCCAAUAUACAGAUUCUGUCAUUUAGAUUUCCUGUCCAAAUGUAUGUAGAGAGUAAUAGAUGUAUUGUAAAGUCAAUUUUCCAUCUCCAUAAAUAGUUUAAGCCUGUUUAAAACUGGACUUCUUGCCUUGACCCAAUAUUCUUAUUUUAAUACUUGUUCUUACAUCAUCUACUUAGUUUGUCAGCAGGAUUGGGUCAUCCUCAUCAUUACCAACUCUAUCAUUCUUCUUUCAUCCUCUACAUCCAAUUAGUUAUUGUGUACCAUCUAAAUAUCUCUUUUUUCUAUUUCUUUCACUUCAUGCUCUCUGCUAUUCCUCCAUAAUGAUGUCCUUUCCUAAACCAUUCACAUAUCCUCCUAACUCAUAUCCUGAUAGCUGCCCUCUCUAAUCCUAUCUGUUCCCAAACUUCUUCCCCAGGCUUACCAAAGAGAAUUGUCUAAGACAUAGAUUGGAUGGAGUCACUUCCCUGUUUGAUUCACUGAACUUUAAUUACCUGCAGAAGAGUUCCCUACUCUCACAGCAUGAUUUGCAUCUCCAUUCAGCUACCCAUUCAUUCAUAUAUCCAUAUAUUAAGCUGAGCCUCAGCAUUAGAAAGUACAGACCUCCUAGUCUCAUGGAGCUGAUAGUCAACGAAGGAAGCCAGCAAUGACAUGUGAAAGGAAUGUGUGCAUCAUAAAAAUGGAAGCAAAGUUCCCAUAUAGGUCCAUAAAUAGAGGACUCAGGAAUGCUUCGGAGUCAGCCAAAGUCUGUGUAAUCAACCAUAAUUUGAAAGUUGCAUGUAAAUUUUCCAGUUGAAGAUGGGGAGAAUGAAAUCAGAUCAUGCAUGGAGAAUGCUGGGUGAACAACUGUCUCAAAUAGAAGGAACAGAAUUAAUCAGACUCUGGGCCAAGAGAGAACAUAUAGCUUUAGAACUAAUGGGAGGUGGAGCACAAAGGUUUUGUCUUCAUUAAAAAGGAUAAGGGAGAGUAGUGUCAGAUGGAAUUCAGGAGGAUUACUGGGACAAGAACUUGGUGGACCCCAUUGUCACACUAAACAGAUAACAUGACCUCAUUUGUAUUUUAAGAAAAAUAAGCAGGCCAGCAACCAAGUAAGAAAGCAUAAGCUUUUAGGAUGCAGGGUAUAACUAUGGAUCUUCAUGAUGAAGCUCCUAUCUAUUGUCCCUGCUUCAUCUCCUUCCACUCCCCCUUGUGAAUCUCCUCCUCAGAUACCCCCACCAAAGUUAACAUGACUUUCUCCUAGUAUCUACUCUUUCAUGCCUCUACAUCCAUGCAAACACCUUUUCUGGUUCCUAAAAUUUGCUUUUCCAUUUCUCAAACCAUCAAAAUCAUCCUCAUUCUAUAGAGCCAGCUCUAGAAUUUUUCUCUUCUCUAAAGUCAUCCUUGACUGUACUUUCAUGCACCAUAUAGAAAAGUCUGUUUGAAGGUGUACAUACCCACUUUUUGGUUUCCUGACCCUACACUAGAAAUAUAGUACCUAGGAUGACUGAAUGAAUUUUUAACUCUUUAUCCAUUACAGCCAGCACAGAAACCAGCACUUGAGGAAAAGAAGGAAAGGAGGGAGGGUAGGAAGGUGGGAGAGAGAGAGUUAUUUGACCAAUGGGUGAUAUUUUCCUACUCUUUCCAUUACAAGGGUGAAAUACUGGAAUAGUAAAAAAGACUUCCCAUGAAAAUAAGUAAUCUCUACAAGAAUCCUUGACAGAUGGUUAUACAGACUUUGAACAUUCAGUGACUUGUGUCUCAUUCUUUCUAAACUAAACAGUUGUUUAAAAUGUUGAAUUUUUAGAGCUGACAUUUACCUUAUACCUUCUAUCCAUUAUGACUAGUUCUUCCCCCUGAAGAUGUGUGAAAUAAGUGAAAGAAUGUCUUUAGCUGCUUUAUGUUAUUUGGUACAUUUCUUUGGACAGUUGCUGUUUGAUAAUGCCCAGCAUAAAAGAUAACACUGAUUAAGAAACAUAUGAAAGCCAUGUUCAAAGCUAAUGCUAUCAGAUUAUUCCACUUGCUACCUGAUCAUGGUGGAGUCAUCUACAUUUGCCCUUAUUUCUUGAAGGUUUUGACUCUUAGUUUGCUGACAUUCUUUCCAAUAUUUCUGUCCUGAACGGUGAGAUUUUAAUAUCCCCAUAGAUGACCUUUGUAAGUUGGAAUUGAUAUGCUCUACUCCAAUGAAUUAUCACAUAAAUUUCUCUAUCAUCUACACCAUGCGUGAUAAUACCUGAGACCUUUGUUAACAAUAACUGCUAAUCCUCCACAACCAAUUAUCAGUUAUUGUUAACACAACUACCUGCUCCUCUUAUUUCUCAAAGAAUCCUGACCUCAGAAAUGUUUGUAUUCCAAGGGGAUAAACAAGCCAUUGUGUUUCAGAGCCUUAUAACAAAAGAUACUAGAGAGAUUGUUUUCUCUCUUUCAUCUGCCAUGUGAGCAUUCCAUAAAAAGCUUAUUAUCUGUAAGCCAAGAAGAGAGAUCUUACCAGAAUCUGACCAUGCUGAACCUUGAUCUAGGGCUUCUAGCCUUCCGAAGUAGAAGGAAAUUAAGUUCUCCUGUUUAAGCCACCUAGCAUAUGCCAUUUUGUUAUGGCAGCCAGAGCUGACUAAGAUAGUACUGUUCUUCACGGAGUAUAAGGAAAUGAUGAAAAAAUUUUAUUAUGUUGUAUAAUAAUGCAUAAUUUUUCUUUUUUCAUUAUGCCACUAAUUUAUCUUUAUCAAACUUCUUAGAAACUUGCUUUCAUAUUUGCAUACCUCUUCUUUUCAUUUAUUUGUUUUUUCUUUCUGUCCUGGUAUACUUCCCUAAAGAUUUUCUCCAUUUUUUCUGGAAACUCUACUUCCUUUCUCAAAAACUAGAGCAUAUGGUUGUUUAUUUUAAGAACUUACUAUUUUUUAUCUAUUCGUGUGAUCAUUCUGCCUUUAUUGCUCACAACAUUUUUGACAAUAUCAGACAGGAAAACAAAGAUAGUGUUGAUUAAAGGUCACUUUAUUGCUUUCACCAGAUUCUGUACUUCCUGGAGCUCAAAUUGAACAAUAUUUUUUUGGGUCCCUUCUGAAAACAGUGCUUGUAAAUUGCCACUCCAAAUUAUCUGUAUUUCACAUCCAUUUGUCAGAAAAUUCAUGUUGAGGAGAAUUCUUAUGUUUAUGUACUGGUUUAUUCUCUGAUUCAUUCAACAAAAAUGCUUUACUGCUUAUACUUACCUACAUCUGACAGAAACUUUAUUAUUUUCUCUUAUUAAAAUGUGGUAUUUAUCUAUACAUAAGGAUCAAUAACUCACCAAUAUUUCUUUUAGUUCUGUAUAAUUAACUAGGAAUAUUCAUGGAUUCUCUUCUUGUUCUGUCUUCAUGCUUUCUAUAGC